rnacentral:rRNA from 1 species
ACUCAAAGGAAUUGACGGGGGCCCGCACAAGCAGUGGAGUAUGUGGUUUAAUUCGAAGCAACGCGAAGAACCUUACCAGGGCUUGACAUACCAUUGACGUACUUAGAGAUAGGUAUUUCCUUCGGGACAAUGGAUACAGGUGGUGCAUGGUUGUCGUCAGCUCGUGUCGUGAGAUGUUGGGUUAAGUCCCGCAACGAGCGCAACCCCUGUUGUUAGUUGCCAUCAUUAAGUUGGGCACUCUAGCGAGACUGCCGGUGACAAAUCGGAGGAAGGUGGGGACGACGUCAAAUCAUCAUGCCCCUUAUGUCCUGGGCUACACACGUACUACAAUGGCUAUUACAGAGGGAAGCGAAGCCGCGAGGUGGAGCAAAUCUCCAAAAAUAGUCCCAGUUCAGAUUGUAGGCUGAAACUCGCCUACAUGAAGUCGGAAUUGCUAGUAAUGGCAGGUCAGCAUACUGCCGUGAAUACGUUCCCGGGCCUUGUACACACCGCCCGU